rnacentral:rRNA from 1 species
GACGAACGCUGGCGGCGUGCCUAAUACAUGCAAGUCGAGCGCAGGAAACUGACGGAACUCUUCGGAGGGAAGGCAGUGGAAUGAGCGGCGGACGGGUGAGUAACACGUAAGGAACCUGCCUCAAGGAUUGGGAUAACUCCGAGAAAUCGGAGCUAAUACCGGAUAGUUCAACGGACCGCAUGGUCCGCUGAUGAAAGGCGCUCCGGGGUCCCCUUGAGAUGGCCUUGCGGUGCAUUAGCCAGUUGGUGGGGUAACGGCCCACCAAGGCGACGAUGCAUAGCCGACCUGAGAGGGUGAUCGGCCACACUGGGACUGAGACACGGCCCAGACUCCUACGGGAGGCAGCAGUAGGGAAUCUUCCACAAUGGACGAAAGUCUGAUGGAGCAACGCCGCGUGAGUGAUGAAGGUUUUCGGAUCGUAAAACUCUGUUGUAAGGGAAGAACACGUACGAGAGGAAAUGCUCGUACCUUGACGGUACCUUACGAGAAAGCCACGGCUAACUACGUGCCAGCCGCCGCAGUAAGAC